rnacentral:rRNA from 1 species
GACGAACGCUGGCGGCGUGCUUAACACAUGCAAGUCGAACGGAAAGGCCCUGCUUUUGUGGGGUGCUCGAGUGGCGAACGGGUGAGUAACACGUGAGUAACCUGCCCUUGACUUUGGGAUAACUUCAGGAAACUGGGGCUAAUACCGGAUAGGAGCUCCUGCUGCAUGGUGGGGGUUGGAAAGUUUCGGCGGUUGGGGAUGGACUCGCGGCUUAUCAGCUUGUUGGUGGGGUAGUGGCUUACCAAGGCUUUGACGGGUAGCCGGCCUGAGAGGGUGACCGGCCACAUUGGGACUGAGAUACGGCCCGGACUCCUACGGGAGGCAGCAGUGGGGAAUAUUGCACAAUGGGCGGAAGCCUGAUGCAGCAACGCCGCGUGCGGGAUGACGGCCUUCGGGUUGUAAACCGCUUUCGCCUGUGACGAAGCGUGAGUGACGGUAAUGGGUAAAGAAGCACCGGCUAACUACGUGCCAGCAGCCGCGGUGAUACGUAGGGUGCGAGCGUUGUCCGGAUUUAUUGGGCGUAAAGGGCUCGUAGGUGGUUGAUCGCGUCGGAAGUGUAAUCUUGGGGCUUAACCCUGAGCGUGCUUUCGAUACGGGUUGACUUGAGGAAGGUAGGGGAGAAUGGAAUUCCUGGUGGAGCGGUGGAAUGCGCAGAUAUCAGGAGGAACACCAGUGGCGAAGGCGGUUCUCUGGGCCUUUCCUGACGCUGAGGAGCGAAAGCGUGGGGAGCGAACAGGCUUAGAUACCCUGGUAGUCCACGCUGUAAACGGUGGGUACUGGGUGUGGGGUCCAUUCCACGGGUUCCGUGCCGUAGCUAACGCUUUAAGUACCCCGCCUGGGGAGUACGGCCGCAAGGCUAAAACUCAAAGGAAUUGACGGGGCCCCGCACAAGCGGCGGAGCAUGCGGAUUAAUUCGAUGCAACGCGUAGAACCUUACCUGGGUUUGACAUGGAUCGGGAGCGCUCAGAGAUGGGUGUGCCUCUUUUGGGGUCGGUUCACAGGUGGUGCAUGGCUGUCGUCAGCUCGUGUCGUGAGAUGUUGGGUUAAGUCCCGCAACGAGCGCAACCCUUGUUCACUGUUGCCAGCACGUUAUGGUGGGGACUCAGUGGAGACCGCCGGGGUCAACUCGGAGGAAGGUGGGGAUGACGUCAAGUCAUCAUGCCCCUUAUGUCCAGGGCUUCACGCAUGCUACAAUGGCUGGUACAGAGAGUGGCGAGCCUGUGAGGGUGAGCGAAUCUCGGAAAGCCGGUCUCAGUUCGGAUUGGGGUCUGCAACUCGACCUCAUGAAGUCGGAGUCGCUAGUAAUCGCAGAUCAGCAACGCUGCGGUGAAUACGUUCCCGGGGCU